GAUUAGUGUCCAGCAUGUGAUAGAACAGUGUAUCCUAUGGAACAAACUAUAGCUGCAGACAGGAAAGCGUUUCACACAAGAUGUAUCAGAUGUCAGAUGUUUGGAUGUGGAAAUGAUUUGACUGCCCGAGGU